rnacentral:rRNA from 1 species
AGAGUUUGAUCAUGGCUCAGAUUGAACGCUGGCGGCAGGCCUAACACAUGCAAGUCGAGCGGUAGCACAGAGAGCUUGCUCUCGGGUGACGAGCGGCGGACGGGUGAGUAAUGUCUGGGAAACUGCCUGAUGGAGGGGGAUAACUACUGGAAACGGUAGCUAAUACCGCAUAAUGUCGCAAGACCAAAGUGGGGGACCUUCGGGCCUCAUGCCAUCAGAUGUGCCCAGAUGGGAUUAGCUAGUAGGUGGGGUAACGGCUCACCUAGGCGACGAUCCCUAGCUGGUCUGAGAGGAUGACCAGCCACACUGGAACUGAGACACGGUCCAGACUCCUACGGGAGGCAGCAGUGGGGAAUAUUGCACAAUGGGCGCAAGCCUGAUGCAGCCAUGCCGCGUGUGUGAAGAAGGCCUUCGGGUUGUAAAGCACUUUCAGCGGGGAGGAAGGCGUUAAGGUUAAUAACCUUGGCGAUUGACGUUACCCGCAGAAGAAGCACCGGCUAACUCCGUGCCAGCAGCCGCGGUAAUACGGAGGGUGCAAGCGUUAAUCGGAAUUACUGGGCGUAAAGCGCACGCAGGCGGUCUGUCAAGUCGGAUGUGAAAUCCCCGGGCUCAACCUGGGAACUGCAUUCGAAACUGGCAGGCUAGAGUCUUGUAGAGGGGGGUAGAAUUCCAGGUGUAGCGGUGAAAUGCGUAGAGAUCUGGAGGAAUACCGGUGGCGAAGGCGGCCCCCUGGACAAAGACUGACGCUCAGGUGCGAAAGCGUGGGGAGCAAACAGGAUUAGAUACCCUGGUAGUCCACGCCGUAAACGAUGUCGAUUUGGAGGUUGUGCCCUUGAGGCGUGGCUUCCGGAGCUAACGCGUUAAAUCGSCCGCCUGGGGAGUACGGCCGCAAGGUUAAAACUCAAAUGAAUUGACGGGGGCCCGCACAAGCGGUGGAGCAUGUGGUUUAAUUCGAUGCAACGCGAAGAACCUUACCUGGUCUUGACAUCCACAGAACUUUCCAGAGAUGGAUUGGUGCCUUCGGGAACUGUGAGACAGGUGCUGCAUGGCUGUCGUCAGCUCGUGUUGUGAAAUGUUGGGUUAAGUCCCGCAACGAGCGCAACCCUUAUCCUUUGUUGCCAGCGGUUCGGCCGGGAACUCAAAGGAGACUGCCAGUGAUAAACUGGAGGAAGGUGGGGAUGACGUCAAGUCAUCAUGGCCCUUACGACCAGGGCUACACACGUGCUACAAUGGCAUAUACAAAGAGAAGCGACCUCGCGAGAGCAAGCGGACCUCAUAAAGUAUGUCGUAGUCCGGAUUGGAGUCUGCAACUCGACUCCAUGAAGUCGGAAUCGCUAGUAAUCGUAGAUCAGAAUGCUACGGUGAAUACGUUCC